GAUGAACGCUGGCGGCGUGCCUAACACAUGCAAGUCGAGCGAGAAAUAAAGGAAUGAAGCUUCGGUAGAUUUUCUUUAUGGAAAGCGGCGGACGGGUGAGUAACGCGUAGGCAACCUGCCCUGUACAGGGGGAUAGCCACCCGAAAAGGUGAUUAAUACCCCAUAACGCAAGAGAUACACAUGUAUCACUUGUCAAAGAUUUAUCGGUAUAGGAUGGGCCUGCGUCUGAUUAGCUAGUUGGUAGGGUAACGGCUUACCAAGGCAACGAUCAGUAGCCGACCUGAGAGGGUGAUCGGCCACAUUGGAACUGAGACACGGUCCAAACUCCUACGGGAGGCAGCAGUGGGGAAUAUUGCACAAUGGGCGCAAGCCUGAUGCAGCAACGCCGCGUGAAGGAUGAAGGCCUUCGGGUUGUAAACUUCUGUCCUUGGGGAAGAAACAAAUGACAUUACCCUUGGAGGAAGCCCCGGCUAACUACGUGCCAGCAGCCGCGGUAAUACGUAGGGGGCGAGCGUUAUCCGGAAUUAUUGGGCGUAAAGAGUGCGUAGGUGGCACCUUAAGCGCAGGGUUUAAGGCAAUGGCUCAACCAUUGUUCGCCUUGCGAACUGGGGUGCUUGAGUGCAGGAGGGGAAAGUGGAAUUCCUAGUGUAGCGGUGAAAUGCGUAGAUAUUAGGAGGAACACCAGUGGCGAAGGCGACUUUCUGGACUGUUACUGACACUGAGGCACGAAAGCGUGGGGAGCAAACAGG
rnacentral:rRNA from 1 species